UACGUAGGGGGCAAGCGUUGUUCGGAUUUACUGGGCGUAAAGGGCGCGUAGGCGGCCUAUUAAGUCAUCUGUGAAAUCUCCGAGCUUAACUCGGAACUGUCAGCUGAUACUGAUGUGCUAGAGUGCGGAAGGGGCAAUCGGAAUUCUUGGUGUAGCGGUGAAAUGCGUAGAUAUCAAGAGGAACACCUGAGGUGAAGACGGGUUGCUGGGCCGACACUGACGCUGAGUGCGCGAAAGCCAGGGGAGCAAACGGG
rnacentral:rRNA from 1 species